GAGAUUCUUUCUGGAUUUAUCCAGAAAUCUCCCACCCUUUGUGUUUACCAAUCAAUUACUUUGGUGAAGCGCCUGUGUGGCAUUCGUGCUACAUAGCCAUCGGCUCGUAAGAGCGGAUGUGCCUUUGCCAAAGGACCACAACUCUUUAUUUUACAAUUGUCUGAGUUUAUAUUUUAAAUAAACAAAACUUUCAACAACGGAUCUCUUGGUUCU
rnacentral:misc_RNA from 1 species